rnacentral:rRNA from 1 species
UGGGGAAUUUUGCACAAUGGGGGAAACCCUGAUGCAGCGACGCCGCGUGAGUUAGAAGGCCUUCGGGUUGUAAAAAUCUUUUCUAGGGGAAGAAAAUGACAGUACCAUAGGAAUAAGGACCGGCUAAUUACGUGCCAGCAGCCGCGGUAAUACGUAAGGUCCGAGCGUUGUCCGGAAUCAUUGGGCGUAAAGGGUACGUAGGCGGGUAAGCAAGUUAGAAGUGAAAUCCUAUAGCUCAACUAUAGUAAGCUUUUAAAACUGCUCAUCUUGAGGUGUGGAAGGGAAAGUGGAAUUCCUAGUGUAGCGGUGAAAUGCGCAGAUAUUAGGAGGAAUACCGGUGGCGAAGGCGACUUUCUGGCCAUAACCUGACGCUGAGGUACGAAAGCGUGGGUAGCAAACAGG